GACGAACGCUGGCGGCGUGCUUAACACGUGCAAGUCGAACGGUGAAGCUCCAGCUUGCUGGAGUGGAUUAGUGGCGAACGGGUGAGUAACACGUGAGCAACCUGCCCCUGACUCUGGAAUAAGCGCUGGAAACGGCGUCUAAUACUGGAUACGAGAAGGGUCCGCAUGGGCACUUUCUGGAAAGUUUUUCGGUUGGGGAUGGGCUCGCGGCCUAUCAGCUUGUUGGUGAGGUAAUGGCUCACCAAGGCGACGACGGGUAGCCGGCCUGAGAGGGCGACCGGCCACACUGGGACUGAGACACGGCCCAGACUCCUACGGGAGGCAGCAGUGGGGAAUAUUGCACAAUGGGCGAAAGCCUGAUGCAGCGACGCCGCGUGAGGGAUGACGGCCUUCGGGUUGUAAACCUCUUUCAGCAGGGAAGAAGCGAAAGUGACGGUACCUGCAGAAGAAGCACCGGCUAACUACGUG
rnacentral:rRNA from 1 species